AACGAACGCUGGCGGCGUGCCUAACACAUGCAAGUCGUGCGAGAAAGUUCCUUCGGGAGCGAGUAAAGCGGCGCACGGGUGAGUAACACGUAGGUAACCUGCCCCCCAGUCUGGAACAACUAGAGGAAACUCUAGCUAAUGCCGGAUGAGACCACGAUCCCUUCGGGGUUGCGGCCAAAGAUGGCCUCUACUUGUAAGCUAUCGCUGAGGGAUGGGCCUGCGGGCCAUUAGCUUGUUGGGUGAGGUAACGGCUCACCAAGGCUGUGAUGGCUAGCUGGUCUGAGAGGAUGACCAGCCACACUGGGACUGAGACACGGCCCAGACUCCUACGGGAGGCAGCAGUGGGGAAUAUUGCGCAAUGGGCGAAAGCCUGACGCAGCGACGCCGCGUGGGUGAUGAAGGCCUCGGUCGUAA
rnacentral:rRNA from 1 species